CGGAGUGUGGCUCAAUUGGUAGAGCUCCUGCCUAGUAAGCAUAAGGCUCUGAGUUCAAAUCUCAUUCUGU
rnacentral:tRNA from 1 species